CAAUAAUUAUCACUAAUUUGAUUUUAAACCAAUUCCUCAGAUGGACAUUCCUCAACAAGAUGUCUGGCUGUGCCCUCGACAAGAUGUUGACCACUGAUGAAACUCUAAGAGUUUUGGGCUGCAAAUAACAAACUGUUUUUCCUGUCCUCGUUUCUCUAAUAAAAGAUUAAUCUAAAGUAAA